GUGUUAAAUUUAAACUACUAAAAAAAAGGUUAAGUUUAAAAAAAAUAUUUGACAAGAGGAUUGAACCUUAAGGUGACCUGGCCCGAGGGUGAAGCCAUGGAAAACUCAAACACACACCGGCUAAUGGGGCCAUGGAAAUGGCUACUCAGGGUACAAGAGGUGAAGUUUCCUGCAACAGCACAACCUGAUGCCAGAGACACUACAGCAGAAAACGUCCACAGGCUUCUCUCAGUUCUGAAACAUUACUGAAAAUCUGCAACACUACAAUGCAAAAAUAUAUGUUCCAGAGCCAAACAAGGACAAGGCUGGCUUCUGAAUUGGUUAAUGUUAAAGGAAUUUGCAAACCAAUUUGUGACUCAUGGGAUUAAAUACGGAACAACUGCUCCCACUAAACUGAUCUAAAGUAGUAAAAACAAUGCAAGCUUCUCUAUAUAGUACCACCACUAGCUUAGUUUAGACAGCAUACAAGAACAGAUGUAUCCCAUUUCACACUGUAUCUUCAUUGUGAGUUUGUCCAAAAAGUUGUGGAGGGGAGGGGGGAGUUAAAAGAAAAAAAAAACACCAAAAAUUAGAGCUAGUCACUGAAUUUAAUGAAAUAUUUUCACAGUUCACCUAUUAGGCUAGGCCGUAAGAUUAGCUGUAACAACCAUGCCAGGUGAAACAUAAGUACAAAUCUUUGUGGGAAAUAAAUCUAUGCUGAGCCUGUUUCCAUUACAUAAAUUUUUAGACACUUAGACCACCCUCAUGCAUUCUGCAAAUGCUAGUCUCUUGCAGGUGCUGAACUAACUCCUAUUUUCAUCAGAACCAGUGAUUCAUUACAUAAAGCUCUAUUGUAUCACAUGACAAAAAUAAAUAACUUUUAAUGCAGUAUGAUGAGCCUUUUUAUUUUUAAGGUAAUUGGGAACAGACUAACGUUGCAUGUUUCUUAACUAGACACCGAAAUUGUCUUCACAUUUAUACCUUUGGCUUAAUAAAGAAUCCAUUUUUGAGAUCUUUCAACUGUAACCUCCACAGUCAUUAAUAAAAAUAUAUGGAAACCAAA